CCUCUUCUCCGCCUCCCCCUCUCUCUGCUCCCCCUCACUCUCAUAUCCCAGCUCCUCUUCUCUGCCUCCCUCUCUCUCAUCUCCAAAUUGUUUUGGUUUAAUGGAGGACAGAGGAACUAGAUCUGUUUUCUCUCUCCUCCGACACCCACUUCCGGUCACCACCGUGACUCACCUCCACCAUCACAGACCUCACCGACCUCCGACGAGUUUAACGCAGCCUCCUUGACUUCCGGCAACAACCCGUGAAGGACCCUGCGCUUUUUCUCAAACCGACGUCGUCUUACUUGGAAAACGGAGGCAGUACUCCUGGGCUCGAUAUCGAAGUACUCCCUGAAUCAGAUGGAAUCUCAAUUGUCACCAACUUGAUGAGGAAAAAGAUUAUGAAAGCGAAGUUCAGACUUCCUCCACUCUCAGAUGCAACACCAGCACCUCAACACACCCGCUCAUUGUUUUUAGGAAGUUUCUUUUGCACAUGUGGUGAAGGAACUAAUGUCCAUAAAUAACUUCUAGGAUAUUGUAUUUCCUUUUCGAUUUGCAAUUAAGAAACUAUUUGUAUAUGAUGACUAUGAAUAUAA